CUGACAGACAGAGGCUGGCGGGCUGCAUGGGGCACCUCACGGGCAUGCUUAGAUGGCAGUCUGGUCAGAAGGAGAGGGUGGAUGAAAGAGUCUGGGGGCGCUAAUUUGGGUCCUGGUUACUUUCCCAGUGAAAACCAAUCUGGUCAUUGGCCUGUCAGAUUCACCAAGGGCUUUUCAAGGUCAGAUCUGAGUCCGGCUUAAUCGCAGAAGAGCAGGCCAAGGUUGGACUAAGCCUUAUUCCAGCGUCAGACGCGAAGAUGCUUCAGCUCAGAGAGUGCGGACACCAUCAGGAAGGCCCAGGUCCCAAUGCUGCAAAGAACCAGGCCUGCCAUACCUCGAUGACAAGCCAAUCCUCGGCCUUGAAUGCUUGCCUGAUAAUUCUGUAUUUGUGAAGAACCUUCCGGCAGCCUUUGGAUGGGGAGGCCAAGUCCGCUAGCAGUGUUGUAAAUACCUGCACGAGGUGAAACUUGCCAGCAAGGGUUCCCUCUUGGUUGCCUCUAAACAGGGAUCCUGGCUGCUUCUGUCCCUCUUUGCUGUGGCCAUUGGGAACUCUUGGUGUUGGGCCGCUUUGGAAAGCUCAGCCCUCAAAGCCUUCCCUGGAGGCUAGAGCUGUAUGGUCAGUCCGUUUCAAAGCAACAAGUGCACACAGAGGAGGAGGAAGACCCCUAUGGAUGGGGAUAAUCCAGGAAGACUUCCUAGAGGAGGUAUGUGCCCAGGAGAAAAGAAAGCACAUCGUCCCACCGAAACUUAUACACAAAAGUCCAUAGCAGCACAAUUCGCAAUAGCCCGACAGUGGGAACAACCCAAAUGUCCUCACCUAAUGCAUGGAUUAAACAAAAUAUGGUGUAACCACACCAUGGAAUAUUAAUCAGCCGUUAAAAGGAAGGAAGCACUGAUACAGGCU